AGAGUUUGAUUCUGGCUCAGAAUCAACGCUGGCGGCGUGCCUCAGACAUGCAAGUCGAACGAUUAAGACUUCCUUCGGGAAGUGCAUAAAGUGGCGCACGGGUGAGUAACACGUAAGUAAUCUACCCUCGAGUGGGGAAUAACGUUCGGAAACGGACGCUAAUACCGCAUAACGCAGCGGCACCGCAAGGUGACAGUUGUUAAAGGAGCAAUCCGCUUGAGGAGGAGCUUGCGGCAGAUUAGCUAGUUGGUAAGGUAAUGGCUUACCAAGGCUACGAUCUGUAUCCGGUCUAAGAGGACGGCCGGACACACUGACACUGAAUAACGGGUCAGACUCCUACGGGAGGCAGCAGUCGGGAAUUUUGGGCAAUGGGCGAAAGCCUGACCCAGCAACGCCGCGUGAAGGACGAAGUAUUUCGGUAUGUAAACUUCGAAAGAAUAGGAAGAAUAAAUGACGGUACUAUUUAUAAGCUCCGGCUAACUACGUGCCAGCAGCCGCGGUAAUACGUAGGGAGCAAGCGUUGUUCGGAUUUACUGGGCGUAAAGGGCGCGUAGGCGGCGCGGUAAGUCACUUGUGAAAUCUCUGAGCUUAACUCAGAACGGCCAAGUGAUACUGCAGUGCUAGAGUGCAGAAAGGGCAAUCGGAAUUCUUGGUGUAGCGGUGAAAUGCGUAGAUAUCAAGAGGAACACCUGAGGCGAAGGCGGGUUGCUAGGCUGACACUGACGCUGAGGCGCGAAAGCCAGGGGAGCAAACGGGAUUAGAUACCCCGGUAGUCCUGGCCCUAAACGAUGAAUACUUGGUGUCUGGAGUUUCAAUACUCCGGGUGCCGUCGCUAACGUUUUAAGUAUUCCGUCUGGGGAGUACGCUCGCAAGAGUGAAACUCAAAGGAAUUGACGG
rnacentral:rRNA from 1 species